UACGUAGGGGGCAAGCGUUGUCCGGAAUCAUUGGGCGUAAAGAGCGUGUAGGCGGUCCGUUAAGUCGGCUGUGAAAGUCCCAGGCUCAACCUUGGGAUGCCGGUCGAUACUGCCGGACUAGAGUUCGGAAGAGGCGAGUGGAAUUCCCGGUGUAGCGGUGAAAUGCGCAGAUAUCGGGAGGAACACCUAUGGCGAAGGCAGCUCGCUGGGACGUUACUGACGCUGAGACGCGAAAGCGUGGGGAGCAAACAGG
rnacentral:rRNA from 1 species